rnacentral:sRNA from 1 species
UUUUUUGUUUGAAAAACUUUGUGGGUUUUUCAUGGAUGGAGAUGCCCUAAUGGCCUUAACAAGUAUGGGUUAUGAAAAAAUAGUCGAUGAAUUAAUGAAAAAGCUGUGAGGGUAACGAGGUUAAAACAUUGUGAGUCAUUUUGUACCUAAUCCAAAGUACAAAGGGAUACAAAAAAAA